rnacentral:rRNA from 1 species
GAAGCCCAGCUUGCUGGGUGGAUCAGUGGCGAACGGGUGAGUAACACGUGAGCAACCUGCCCUUCACUUCGGGAUAAGCCUUGGAAACGGGGUCUAAUACCGGAUAGGAGCACCUGCUGCAUGGUGGGUGUUGGAAAGUUUUUCGGUGAGGGAUGGGCUCGCGGCCUAUCAGCUUGUUGGUGGGGUAACGGCCUACCAAGGCGUCGACGGGUAGCCGGCCUGAGAGGGCGACCGGCCACACUGGGACUGAGACACGGCCCAGACUCCUACGGGAGGCAGCAGUGGGGAAUAUUGCACAAUGGGCGAAAGCCUGAUGCAGCGACGCCGCGUGAGGGAUGACGGCCUUCGGGUUGUAAACCUCUUUCAGCAGGGAAGAAGCGCAAGUGACGGUACCUGCAGAAGAAGCGCCGGCUAACUACGUGCCAGCAGCCGCGGUAAUACGUAGGGCGCAAGCGUUGUCCGGAAUUAUUGGGCGUAAAGAGCUCGUAGGCGGUCUGUCGCGUCUGGUGUGAAAUCCCAUGGCUCAACUAUGGGCUUGCAUCGGGUACGG